rnacentral:rRNA from 1 species
GUAGGUGGCAAGCGUUGUCCGGAAUUAUUGGGGCGUAAAGCGCGCGCAGGCGGUUCUUUAAGUCUGAUGUGAAAGCCCACGGCUCAACCGUGGAGGGUCAUUGGAAACUGGAGAACUUGAGUACAGAAGAGGAAAGCGGAAUUCCACGUGUAGCGGUGAAAUGCGUAGAGAUGUGGAGGAACACCAGUGGCGAAGGCGGCUUUCUGGUCUGUAACUGACGCUGAGGCGCGAAAGCGUGGGGAGCAAACAGGAUUAGAUACCCUGGUAGUCCACGCCGUAAACGAUGAGUGCUAAGUGUUAGGGGGGUUUCCGCCCCUUAGUGCUGCAGCUAACGCAUUAAGCACUCCGCCUGGGGAGUACGGCCGCAAAGGCUG